rnacentral:snoRNA from 1 species
AUUCCAUGAUGGGGACAUUCUAGGAUGUAGUCUUGAAAGCGCUCCCAUGCUUCUGGAACAGAUUCAUCAUUUUGUUGCUGAAAACUUGUAAUCUUCUCACGGAGAGC